AGAUUGAACGCUAGCGGGAUGCUUUACACAUGCAAGUCGAACGGCAGCGCGGACUUCGGUCUGGCGGCGAGUGGCGAACGGGUGAGUAAUGUAUCGGAACGUGCCUAGUAGCGGGGGAUAACUACGCGAAAGCGUGGCUAAUACCGCAUACGCCCUACGGGGGAAAGGGGGGGAUCGCAAGACCUCUCACUAUUAGAGCGGCCGAUAUCAGAUUAGCUAGUUGGUGAGGUAAAGGCUCACCAAGGCCGCGAUCUGUAGCUGGUUUGAGAGGACGACCAGCCGCACUGGGACUGAGACACGGCCCAGACUCCUACGGGAGCAGCAGUGGGGAAUUUGGACAAUGGGGGAAACCUGAUCCAGCCAUCCCGCGUGUGCGAUGAAGGCCUUCGGGUUGUAAAGCACUUUGGCGAGGAAGAAACGGCACUACUUAAUACGGUGUCACUGACGGUACC
rnacentral:rRNA from 1 species